rnacentral:misc_RNA from 1 species
AAACCAGAAACGAACGAACACGGCCAGAAGAACUCCGAAGGGCUGCUUUCGGAACUUGCGAGGAUAUACGACGGUAUCAUACAGCUGCAUCAGUCUUCUUUCGUUUGUCGGAGGGGUGAAUUUCAGUUUUGCAAGUGAAGCGCGUGAUACAUAACCGUUUUUACAAGUUUUGUUUGUUUGUGUUUGAAGAACUAUUUAUUCAGUGAUUUUGGUUGUUUUGUGGGAACAAUGCUGUUCGAAAAUCCUCCCGGAAAAUUGUUUUCUCCUUACAGUGUGCCACCGCCAGUCUUACCGCCGCCUAUACACGGAAUCCAUUGUCCAACGUUCACAGUCAUACAGCAAGACAGGGAAAGCGCUGGCAUGGGUGAAGGCAACGGCAUGAUGGAUCCUCAUGAACUUACUUUGGUGCCCAUCAACGGCAGCCACUCAGGCUCCUCUGGUAGAAGCACACCAAACGCAUCGAAUGAUCCAGCUCCUGGAAAACUGUUUGUGGGAGGCUUAAGUUGGCAGACUUCCAGCGAAAAAUUGAAAGAAUACUUCGGGAUGUUCGGCAACGUUACAGAUGUCUUGAUAAUGAAGGAUCCAGUUACACAGAGAAGUCGAGGUUUCGGUUUCAUCACAUUCUCAGAACCAUCAAGUGUAGAGAAAGUACUGAAGGUUCCAAUACAUACAUUGGACGGAAAAAAGAUUGACCCAAAACACGCAACACCCAAAAAUAGACCAAAGCAACCAAACAAGACUAAAAAGAUAUUCGUAGGAGGCGUCAGUCAGGAUACAUCAGCCGAUGAGGUUAAAGGCUAUUUUAGUCAAUUUGGGAAAGUAGAGGAGACUGUAAUGUUAAUGGAUCAGCAGACCAAAAGACACAGAGGAUUUGGAUUCGUAACCUUCGAGAGUGAAGAUGUUGUUGAUAGAGUUUGCGAAAUACAUUUUCACACUAUUAAAAACAAAAAGGUGGAAUGUAAAAAAGCACAACCCAAAGAAGCAGUUCAAGCUAGUGCUCAUUUAUUAGGUAAACGACUAAUGCUCACCGGAUUGGGCAUGCGUGCCAUAGCUCCCGCACCAGGAGUGUUAGCCACAGUUAACCCCCUAGCAACAGCUCAAGCGCAAGCACAUGUACAAGCCGUACAAGCUGCCGCAGCAGCCGCUCAAGCCCAGCCUCUCGCAUUAGCGACUUACGGAAAACUGUUUGGUACCUACCCACAUUUGGCUAGUUACCGCUAUUCACCUUAUCCGAUAACAGCAGUCAGUGCAGGCGCAGCAGCCACACAGAACCCUGCUCAAGCACCUGCAGCUCAUACGCCUGCACCCCCCACAAUGGCGCCCCCAGUCGCUGCUAGCCCUUACCAAGGCUACAAUCUCACAAAUGUUGAUAUGUCAUCGUUUCAGGGAGUCGACUGGGGAUCCAUGUACGGUGUCGGCAUGUAUGUCUAAGUGUUCACACAUUUGUUAUUUAGGUUUCUUGUGUUAGGUUAUUGUGAAGGACUUCCAUGAAAAUAAACGAUACAUUUCCAACAGAGGAAGGGAUACUGCAUCUACCAAAUACGUCAAGUUCCUUUUGCGACUUCUAGCCUUAUUUUAUUUCUUAUUUUAUCAUACAUACUGAAGGUACUGCCAUUGUAUGCUUGAUAAGGCAACCUUUCCUAUAACUUUUAAUAACAUGUGCCAUAUUCAUAAAUAAUCCCAGUAUGUUGUAUGUUUCAAAUUUAAAUAGUUGAUAAUUUUCCUUUUUAUUUUAUUUCUUUAUUCUAUUACUUUUUUUUGUAAUUCACUUACUGUAUGGUAUGUUUUAAAUUGUACAAUUUUAUGACCAAUGCUUUCUCUUCAACUCAAAGCCUAAAUGGUUCUCAAUACACUUUUGCGCAAGAUAAUAUUUAUCUAUGAUAAAUAAACUAUAUGUUAGUAGAUGUAAAAUACCCCUUCCUUUUCUUAAUUGUCAAUGGCAGCGGCUCGUGCCUACUUUUCAAUGGUAUUAUUGAUGAUGCUACAGUGGUGAUUUUUUUCUGUACAUAGAAUCACAUUGCCACAAUGCUGUCGGGCAGUUUUUCUAAAAGCAUCACACACAUUGCGCUUACAACUAUUUCAAAAUACUCCUAGAAAUAAUAUCUAGUCGAGAACUACUCGUAUUCGGCCAUAAACAGGUUAAACGCCUUCAAUUAUGGUUCUUGUAGUACUCGACUGUCGGUUUUGAUGCCGUCUUUCUGCUCAUCUAGCAUCUCGGCAAUAACUCGCAAUAAUCAGUAUUAAAUUUUUGAGAAAAAAUAAAUUGCCGUUUUGUUUUAAUUAUUUUCCGUAUGAAAAAAACUCUUGAUAUUCCUGUCAUAUGGCAAUAAUUAUAACUUAUUUAUAAUGGAACAUUAAAAAAAAAAGGUUGUGUUGAGUGUACUUAAGUUAUUAUACCUUAGUACUUAGAUGGGGCUGGAAAGGAUUGUUCUUUCGAAUAAACAGAAUAAUCCAAUACACAUCGUAUAUCGAAGUCUAUACUUUAUUUUACGUUAAGAACGAAACGUUUGGCUUAUGCAGAUCAGUGUUGCCAAGGUCGACAUAAGAUUCAUUCUCGACACGAUAGAAGCGGCAUCGGCGCGGUUCUAUCGUCCAUAAGAAAUACACGGCCCUAUCUACGCAAUGUUCCGUUCUUAAGGUGAAACGCUCUAUAGACACCAUUCUGUACGUAAUAUACAGAUAUUUUUUAUUGGAAUAUUCUGUUUACACACUUACUUAAGUAUAUCAUUCAAUCAAUACUUUCCAAUCCCUGUACUUAAUUUAUUGUAUUUCACCAUUUUUGACUGAUAGGACGGUACUUAUACAUUAGUAAUUAUUUUAUGAGUUAGUUUUUCGAUCGAGUUCAUCACUUUAUUCACUAUUUAAUGAUAUUAAUUUUAUUCAAAGGAUCUCAUUCAUUCGAAUUUUUAGUGUUAUAUUCGAUGUGAUCUAUUUACACAAAUGGAACCAUGUUUUAUAUACUUAAAAUAUCUACAGGGUAGUGAAAUGAUUAUUUAAAUGUAAUGAGGAGUGUAGUUUCUACACCACUGUAAUAAAAAGAUGGAUCUGAUUAUUCAUAAUCUUGGAAUAUUCUUCAUAAAAUAUAUUAUUAUGAAUUACCUAAUUUAACUAAUAUGUGAUUUUUCUACUUAAACGUAACUUAGGUAUACUACUCACAGUACUUAGAUUUAUGUUUUGAAGGGACCUGGUAUUUACCAAUAUUAGGUCUGUCCUUUGUAUAUGAGCAAUUAAAAGACAUACAUAACUUUAUAUAAUCUUAAAACGAAUAUCAGAUCUGCUAUUCCUUUUUCUUUUUUUAUGACCUGUGUUUACUGGGUUAUUUUUAUUCAUUUUUGCGAUUCUGAUGAGCCGCUGUCGCGUCAUUUGUUCGGUAGUUUUCUUGGUAAACCUCUUCCUGCAGACCAUUCGUCUCUUACAAUCGUGACUAUUCUGUUAUCCUGCAUUCGCGUUAUAAUGUUAAUUUCAGUUCUUUCUUCUUUCUCACUCACAUCACACCACAUACUAUAUCCCCGUUUUUUAUGCAGUCACACCUAGUUUUCUAUUACCAAAUCAAAUAGGAGUGGGCAUAAUAUUACUCGCUUGUGUUAUUCUUGUCUUUAUUAGUAUUUCUUCAAUUAGUGUUCCAUCAUUUUUAUUUUAUCUAGUCAGAAUUAAUUUUUGUGUAAUUGUGAUCAUUUUAGGAGGUACUAUUUUUUAAGUGUCACUACUACCUUUGGUCGAACGCUUUUGUUAAAUCUAGGAAGCUUAUGGAGGAGAACUAUGGCAUUCCAUGGCUUUUCUACUAGCUUACGAAUUAUAAACAUAAAAUCUGUUGUCGAUUUCUUCUUUCGAGAUUCCUAUUUUUCUUCAUAUCUAGGAAUCAUAACUUUUCAGCUGUAAUUUAAAAAAAAUAUUUUUUCCAGCAUUCUCCAUAGUUCAUUAGGUUUUUUCCUGUUUUGAAUAUCAGUUUAGCGAUGCAAUACAAUUUUUUAUUAUUUAUCUUGCUAACAAAUGGUCGUGCGUACUUAAUUUUUAUUUUGAUUCUAUUCUAUUCUCCCAUUUUGAUCCCAUAUGUUUUUCUUCUUUGGGGUUUCCUUUUCUCUUUAUACAUUUUUAACAAAUUUCGUAUUUUUUCAGAUUUAACAUUAACCUGUGACUAUUUACCUACUUUUUUUAAUUUUUGUUAAUGCUACUUCAUUUUUUGAUGUUAACUCUCUUUAUAUCACUGGACUUAUUUAACCAGCAGUGGAUAAUUAUUUAAUCAGCGAAAAAAAUAAUUUCAUUCACAUAACAGUCUCCAAAAUUGUUAAACCAAGACGAUCCAAAUCUUCUGGAGUAAUAACUCUAAAACUCUAAACCGGUUUGGAAUAAUGACUUCUAUGAGUUCUCUUAUAAACUGGGUUUCGGCGUGACACUAACUCUUUCAGCCGUGACUAUAGAUUUUCUAAUGGAUUUAGAUCAGGACUAUUUUCAGGCCAAAACAGGACAGUAAUGUCAUGGUAGAUAUAAAGAAAAGCAAAUGGAAUAAUAAGAAAAUAACUGUUCAUAUGUCAAUAUGAAUAUAUUCAAAGAGGAUCGUACAUUUUUGUAAAUAGAUCACUUAUAAUAAUUAUUAUUAAGAGCAAACAAAAUCGUUAGUGCAGCUAGGCCAUAAAACUUGCCGAGUUUUUCAAGAUCGGCCAGUUCCUACUCUUUCAAUUAAAAAAAAAAGAUUGCACAGAUCUAGUCAUGAUUUUUGCUGAUAUUUUUUUGACAAUCUACGCUUGGCUUACCUUUUGGUGUUUACAACUCAUUUAAAAUUGUACUCAAUUCAUACUUAGAUUGAUGUAAGUAUAAAAUUUUACCGAAAAAGCUAUAGCAAACUACAUAACGCAAAUUAAUACAGUGAAAUUCAAAUACCAACAAUAACAUUUUUGUAAUUGAAGUUUUGUUUAUUAGAUAGGCCCUAGCCACUCACUUCUUGUAGUUCAAAUGUGCUUGGAAAUGUUUUUCUAUUUACAUAUUUUUGCAAAUGAAAAAUUUUAAAGUCGCCGACUUUUUAUUGUUUGUAAUUUUUAAACCUUUCUAUGGCUUCUUUUUUUAAUACAUUCAACAAGGAGGAGCUCUACUUUAUUGAAAACCUCUGUUAAAUACAUUUAAGAAAGUAUAGGAAGUAUUUUAUAGUCUUUCUAUAAAAGGUAUUAAUACACGAAAGUCACCUAAGGUAGUAAGUUAUGAGUUAAUGAGGAAUUGAACAUUGUUCAAUUUAUUUUUUCAUUUAUCUGCCUUGGACGACAAAUAAUUGUUUUUGUCGUGAAAAUGUGGUUGAUUUUACACCAUUUGAAGAAUUUUGGUCUAGUCUCAAAUGGGAAUUUCUUGAAUCAAACAAAAUCGACAUCAUUCAAUGUUAGCUUUUUAAAAAUUAGUCUGUCUCUCUAUUUCUCUCCCUCCUUCUCUUGUCGUUUCCCCAUUACUCCUAACAAAUUUUCUUCACUGGUCUCUACCUUCAGCUAUUGUAAGAAUUUCACAGAACCAUCUCGUUGGUGACUUGUGACUUCUCCUCGGAACGUUUUCAGAAACAAUCUCUCUAAAUAAUCGUCCCUUCUGUGUACCAUACUAGUAAAUAACUGUAGAAUUCACUGCAGACAUGUUGUGGAAAGCCUUUUUAUAUUUUCAGGUUGGUUAAGAAUGGAAACGUUUGUCCGCUGAGUUGACAAAGGUAUGCGCAGGCGCAGCCAUCGUCUCUAACCGCAUCUCAAAGGCAUCCAUUUUUUGGCGUUCUUAUGCGCAAGAGUCCAAAUUUCUGCCUCGUUUAGAAAUGCAUUGACCGGCAAAAAUUAUUUCCAUUAAAAAAUACAGAUUAAUAUACUUUCACUUAUUCGUUGACGGUUGUUUUCUUGCAGUCAGUCGAAUAAGGAUAACUUUGCUUCUCUUGUAAUGUUUCUGUAAUGAAUUUUGCCAAAAUACUUUUCUUGUCAAAAGAAUUUUGAAAAUUGUUUUCUGAAUUCCAAAUAUUUUUACAAUGUCUUCCAUACUCUAUCCAAACAUUUCUGCAAACCAUUCUGAGGCUCCAUUUUUUCGAGUAAAUGAAAAUUUGGUAAAUCGUUUUUAAAAGAUUAAUUUUAUCCACUCCCCACAUAUUUUUUGUAAUUCUUAUAUACUCUGUAUACGGUACAAAUACAUAUUAUAUAUUUAUUUAUUCUAUCUUCUGCAUUGUUAAUCAGUAUUUGCAAUACCCUUAUAUAGUUGAAAGCAAUUAUAACAGGUGUAACAACAAACCAUUUAGUUAGAAUUAUUUCGCGAUCGGAAAUAGACAGUUCUUUAACAUCGCCUUGUCCUUGCUGUUGCAUUAGUUAAUCCGUUAAGGUAAAUCCCGUUCAUCACAAAAGUAUUUCCUUUAUCUACAGAUGUGCACAUGUAUUUUGUUCACACUUGUAAUAAAAAAUUCGAAACUACAAUUUAUAAAUGUAAAUACUAGGGAUAUAAAGAAUAAAGUCAAUUUACUUAACUAGGGGUAAAAAAUAAAAGCAAUUUCAAUAAUGUAACAGGCGCAACUUCCGUGCUUUUCUACAAGUCUUGCUGUUUACAGUAGAUUACACCCAAAACUCGAUUUUCACAGUCUCUUAAAACUAUGUGCAACAAAUAUAGCAGUGUGGCCAGACCCAGAUUUAGUGAAAUUUCACUAGAUUUAGUAAUUUUUUAACAAUCUAAUGAAAUAGUUAUCUUUUCAAAAUAGACACAAUUCUAACGAUUUUUGGAAGUUUCUAUUAGGGAGCUCGCAAACCAAAAGCGAUAUCCUUACAUCGCAUAACAUACAUUUCGAAAAGAUACGCACUGAGUGUCACAUCUGGUUUUCGGUGAACGAAAUUCCACCGAAAGUCACCGAAGAUUCACCGAAAACCAGAUGUGACACUCAGUGCGUAUCUUUCCGCAAUGUAUGUUAUGCGAUGUAGGGAUAUCGCUUUUGGUUUGCGAGCUCGCUUAUAUUGAAUUCACCGAAAACCAGAUGUGACACUCAGUGCGUAUCUUUCCGCAAUGUAUGUUAUGCGAUGUAGGGAUAUCGCUUUUGGUUUGCGAGCUCGCUUAUAUUGAAUACUCUUGCUACGUAUAUUACAAAAAAUAAUUUUUAUUUUAUUUCACCUGUCCCAACUGACGGUUUCGUUGUAACCACUUAAAACAGUGGUUUAUCUUUUAUUUCUGUUAUUAUUAAAAAAAUUUCAGGAGUAUUUUUAAUACCUUUGUAUCAAAAUUAUUCAUUUAAUACUUCCACGUAUGUAUUGUUUAUUUAUCACUUUUACAAAGAAAGAGAAAUCCCCAAAGAUUCCUAAUAUUUUCAAAAAGAUAAAGGUUGUUUUAUCUAUUUCAACCAGAUAACUUUCAAGCAGAUAACCUUCAACCAGAUACGUUUUAUGUAAAUAUUAUAACCUAAAUACCUAUUCUCGAAAAUGUAAUAAAACUUAAUUGUUUCGUAAUGGCUGAUGUGAGCACUUUGGUCCCAAGCAUUUGGUUCUUUUGAAUUAUCGUUGUUUGAAAUCUUAUUUCAGCAUAAUUAUUAAGGACUUUAACUUUUGAACCUUGAUAAGUCCAAUAUAGGGAAAUCCCCUGAAAAGUUCAUAGAAUUUUUUUUAAAUCUAGUGAUAUCUAGUGAUUUUUUCAGCGAAAUCUAGAAACUUUUAUAAAUUUGACCUGGCAACACGUAGUAUACAGUGAUGAGUGAGCUAAUAAUCGGCAAAAUAACGCAAAAGCUGGAAAACAUAAUGCAUUGCGAGACAAAAAGAAAUGAAAGUAGUGGAGGUGGAAAUUAUCGUUAUAAACGUAUAAAUUAACAUUACAUAGUUUCCCACCUUUAGACGUAUCAGAGGAGUAUGACAACUGUCAUUGCGACAGUAGAAUUUUAUAAAAUUCUCCUGUCACAGACGUCCAAAGGUGGGAAACUAUAUAAUGUAAUGUUAAUUUAUACGUUUAUAACGAUAAUUUCCACCUCCACUAGUUUCAUCUCUUUUUGUUCCGCAAUGUAUUAUGUUUUCCAUCUUUUGCGUUAUUUUGCCGGUUAUCUCUCAUCACUGUAUUAUAAUGAUUGAAAUUGAAAUCUGCAAUAAGUGGUACCUCAAUACAGUUAAGGUGCACAAAUAUACUCAACAGGAGCGAACGAGUUAGCUCAUUUUUUAGAUUGUUUUAAUUUAAAAUUUUAAUAUUAAAAAAGAGUAGUUCAAUAUUCUUGGUCUCUGAUAUUGGUUUACUAAACUACUUAACCUUUCUUUUAUUUUGCAUCUUAUUUAUUUGCACCAGCCUCUUUAUUUAUUUAUGGCGUCCGAGUAAUUUGCUCGACUAUUUUGGCUGCUUUCGGUUAAAUAUAAUAAUAUAUACUUAACAUAUAAGAAAAUUGUACAUGUGUUUAUUGAGUUGAAAGCACCAUCAGAAUCCUUACUCUUUGAACCAUCACACUAUCCCUAAUCACUUGUUUCAAGUAGACAGAACUGCCUACAUUCCGUAUUAGCUGUGCAUCGAGUAUCUUUUUAACAGUAUAAUAAUUAUAAUACGUGUGAUUCAAGGACCAAUGCGUCUGCCAUCGUUGGAAACAACCUUGGUACAAGACGAAACUAAGAGCUACAUGACACUCCAACUGUCACAUUUAAGGCAACUGUUUUAUGAUAUUUCGUUUGAUUGAUUGUUUUGGUUUCAGGAAGUUUUAUUUUUAAGUAUUAUGUUUUAUAUGCUUCUAAUCUAGUGUUGAAACCUGUUUUGUUGGCCAAUACAUUAGUCAGUAUUUAAACAUGCAAAGGAUGGGAGUUAUUGUAUAAAUGAAAAAUUAAAGAGCAGCAAAAACCACUGAGAAAUCAUUUGAUAUUUUCUUAUUUGGCUUUUGACACAUUCUUGUCACCACUAUCAUCAAUUAAUUUGUCUAAAUCAGCUUUUGGACAUAAUCGCAGCCUCUAUUGCUUAUUUAUUUCUGUGGUUUUCCGGGUUCGACUCCGCGUUGAAUAAUUUUGCGUUUUAGAAAAAUGACGUAAGUCAGAUUAGUUCUGCUUUUCUCGAUAUUUGAGAAGAAAGGAUUUCUGGGCGCUAUGCCCUGUGUUUAAAUACCUUGCUGCGCUGCUUGUAGUCAAAAUGCUCAGCCCUAGAAGCUGGGCAGAACCACCUUUCAGUUUCAGUUAUGCAUUCCUCCAGCGUGUCCACGAUGAUAUCCCGAGACCACACGCAGAGUUUGGUAAUAUUAAAGCGGAGCUGAAACAGUUAACUUUUUGCUUGCUCCUGAACACCUUGCCUCCCUUCGGGUCGACGCCAUUCUUCAUGUUUCUUUCUCUAGAAUGGCCUCUUCACAUAUCUCUGAACUGCUCUCUACCGAUCUGACGACCUAAGCAUUUCUUCCACUAUCUCCAUGACUGAUUGCACCCUACCUCCUAGCUCUCUCUCUCUCUCUGUUUCUCUGUCAAUCAGGCUCCUCUCAGCUAUUCAUCUAUCGCAUACCAACAGAGUAUGUGAGGCAAUGUCCGAUAUCACACAGUACAAGUCACCUUCUGUCUUUACAAGGUAUUAAAUAAAACUUUGUAUAUUACUUAUCAUCAUGCAACCUUUUCCGUCCACUGCUGGACAUAGGUAUCUUCCAUUUUUCGCCACUCUUCACGGUUCUGUGCAUCUUGUUGUCAUUUCUUAGACAUUCGUUUAAUAUCGUCCAUCCAGCGUGUUGGUGGUGGACCUCUGCUGCGUUUGUCUUCUUUUGGGCGGUAGACAAAUAAGUUUUCUGGUCUAUCUUGAGUCUUUUAGUCUCGAUACGUGACCUGCCUAAUUCCAUUUCAGCUUGGCUAUGCGUUCGACCAUAUCAGUGACACCUGUUCUUUUCCUCAGGUCUUGGUUCCUUAUUUUGUCUUUUUUUGUCACGCUGGGAAUCGAUCUUUCCAUGCACUUUUGUGCCACUCGCAUUUUUAGUGCUGUUAUAUUUGUGAGCGUGAAAGUUUCUGCUCCUGUAUAAUAGGAAGGACGCAUUGGUCAAAUGUCUUCUGUUUCAUAGGUAUCGGGAUGUUGCUCUUUUAAAGAUGUCUCUUAGUGAACCAUACGCCGCCCAAGCAAUUCGUCAUUGAAAUUUACAGGUCUGAUUAUCCUUGCUUAUUUUGAUUUCAUGACCGAGAUAUAAUAUAAAGGGUGUCCCCGAAAAUAGUGCGUUCCUUAAAGGUAUAGGUAGAAGGCAUAAUGUAGAGCAAAAAGUCUUAUAACAUUUUUUUCUAAAUUGAUCCGUUUGACCAAAAAACGAAAAUACAUUUUGAUAUGCAAAUUGAAGUCUGGCAACAACGCGCAACUCAAAAAUCUAAAGAUUAAAAAAGUAGGUUUGUAGGUCAGUUGCAUCUGGUAGGUAAAAUAAUGUAAAUAUCAACCAAACCCUUAGAGUAGGGAGAAUUUUUAAAAUUCUCCCUACUCCAAGACCAAACCCAUAUCCAUUAUUUUACAGGUAGGUACCUACGAUGUCAACAACUCCAAAAAUCACACCUCGAAGUAAAUAAAAAAGGGGUUAUUUGGUUAAAUUUCCACAGUCACAGCAAGUUCUUCUAGGCUACGUUGCCAUGUCAUUCAAAUUUGUUAAAAUAAAAAUUCACUUAUAUGGAGAACAAUGUAAUUUUUUUCUUGGAAACGGUUAACUUUAGAAAAAAUGUUAUAUAACUUUUUUGUUCUAAAUUGUGUAUUAUAUCCAUACCUUAAAGGAACGCACUAUUUUUGGGGACACGCUGUAUAUUAUAUACAAACAAAGGAAGUUUAUAUUAUGUACUUUUCUGUCAAUUCGACCACUUGAUUUUGGAUGGUUAGGUGUUUGCUGGGAACUAAAUUUUUCAUAAAUUUGGUCUUACUUAUGUUCAUUUUUUACUUAUGCUUUUAUACUUUUACUUUAUUACUUAUGCCAUCGUAGAAUAAAUUAGAUUUGUUGAACUACAUACCCAUCCUUUGAAUUGCCUUAAUACUAAGUAGCUCAUUUUAUCGUUGUUUUAAAAUCUUAGCUUAGCUAAAUUUCUGCGUUAGCUUAUUUUUAAGGAAACUAGGGAAGGAAGCUUCCCGUAGCGUUUAAAAUAAAAGACAUCCCCGUUUCAGUAUUUUAUUUGGACUGAUUCGCUCUUAGUUUCGUGUCGCUCAUUUUAAAAGAAUGGUUCAUACUGAUGUUUUUAUACUAUAACGUAAAAAAUAGUUUUUAGUCUUAUAAGCCCGAUUCGGACGCAGUCUCUAGAACUACCUUGUGAUAGUUGUUAGGCAGCUAGAAUUGCGUCGGUUUUGCCAAGUUGCCAAUCGUUAUAUUUUCUGUAGAAUAGUUUACAAAACUCUGUAUGCACUAAUGUAACGCUUCCAUUUCCAUUUGGGGUUACAAGUUUAAAUAGUUUCUUUUCAUUAUAAGUAGUUUACUUGUACCAGAGUAUACCUAACAAUUAGUAUUCCCACUCAGAUUUGGCGGCAAAGAACACGUAUGUUUACUGCGCAGACGGUGACGUCAUUUACUGCGCAGACAGCAGCGUCAUUUACUGCGCAGACAGCUCUUGUGUUUUCAGUGAGAUGUAACUAAAGUAUCUUAAUUAACUGAUUCAAAACUCUGUAUUUGAUUUUCAAAUGAAACUUUGGAUUUUAGUCUAUUUGACAACCACACAGCUUUAAAACUACCAUAUUUACUAAAAACUGUCCAUUUGAUUUUUUAUAGUUUAUAAGACAGUUAUGUAACAAAUAGUUGUGAAACUUUAGAAAUCAAAAUCAUAGAUAAAACGCAGUGAAAGAAAUAUUUUACAUUAAAAAUAUAUAAACAUUUUCAAUUUUGUUGCAGCCCGAAAUCGCAGCAGCAUUAUAUUCUAGUUCAAUCAGAAAUUUUCUACAUCUGCUAAGAAAAAGACUAAGUUUUCAAUCUAAUAACACAAACUACACAGCUUUAAAACUACCAUAUUUACUAAAAACUGUCCAUUUGAUUUUUUAUAGUUUAUAAGACAGUUAUGUAACAAAUAGUUGUGAAACUUUAGAAAUCAAAAGCAUAGAUAAAACGCAGUGAAAGAAAUAUUUUACAUUAAAAAUAUAUAAACAUUUUCAAUUUUGUUGCAGCCCGAAAUCGCAGCAGCAUUAUAUUCUAGUUCAAUCAGAAAUUUUCUACAUCUGCUAAGAAAAAGACUUUUCAAUCAAAGUUUUCAAUCUAAUAACACAAACUGACAUUAAAAUAUCAUUCUAAAUCCCAUCAGAUUGAAAACAGGGGAACCUUCUCUGGUCACAACCUCCGAGGCUUCUAAAAAAUGCAAGCCAUAUGGCUGCCAAGACUAUAGGAAGAUGGGGGGAUUUUACAAUUCAUAAUUCACGUCCCAUCUGCUCAGCAUGGAAAUAUUUUACGUUUUUUUUUUAAAUUUCCCGAAAAAUGAAGUAGUAACAAUUAGAGAGUUUUGAAAUUGAUUAACUGCUACAUAUGCAUGUAUCCAUUUCGUUAAAAAUUGUUUCAAAAUAAAUGAAAGUCUGCUCUAUCGCGUCCAUAUGUGCAGUGCUAUGCCUGAUUUACCCUCGCACAAUAUGGCGUCAACGUCACCGAAUUUGUAACUAAAGAGAUCAAAGGUACCGCGUCAGAGAGAGUACUGAUUGUUAGGUGUACUGUGCUUGUACAUUCUAGUGAGUUGGUGUAUAGGCUCUUCUUAUAAUUUAGACAGUUUAUUAACAUCUAACACUUCACCAGAUUCUCUGUUAUAUAAAAUCUUUCAGAUUAUUGUAUAUAAUAAAACAACGUGACAUUUUAGUUCAUACAGAGCAUUAAAAAUGUUGAGUACCUUGUAUAUUUGACUGACCCCUUUUUAGCAAUAAGUUUUAUUCGCGGCAGCUUUUUGAUUGCGUUUCGUUCCAAUAGUAAGGAACUCAUACCUUUGAAAAGGACAUUCAAGGUACAUAUUCAUAUUUUUAGAAUAUAUGCACCUACGUGCAUAAGUUCUAGGUAGCUUUUAAUAUGAUGACACUUGAUUUCAAGUUAUUUUAUUUAUGGUCACUGAAGUGCCAAAUUUUAAGUAUUAUAACGUUCGAUUUGCAACUUUGCAUUGAUUAAAAGGAAACAAGGAAAGUAACUGCUUUUUUAAACGAAAUUGAUUGAAACUCGCACACUUAACGCUGAUAUCGAUUUCAGGUACCAAAUGUAAGAGUCCAUGUUACCUUAUUCACUUCUUAAGAUAUUUUUUAAAUGUAAUAAUUUUGGAUGAUAAAAUAUACGGGUAGCGAAAUAUCAUAACAGAUAUGGAAAUAACGGAAAAAUAAUCCACUGUCCUUCAUAAUAUAAUGUUUUUUUAUGUUAUUCAAUUAGGUUUUUACUUCAUUGUAAUAUUUUCUUUGUUUAGAUUUAAUCUUCCAGGAUUAAAUUUCUUUAUUUAGGAAUUGCUUCCAAUAUCUCUUUAUCUAGCUUGUUGUGGCCACAAGACUGUCUGGAAGAUUUACUAUGUUCUGCAAACUGGCAGCUCUAUCUGUUCCAUGGUCUCUCCAUUGUUAAUCUUGGUUUUACGCCUUCUGCCUGUAAUUUCCAUAUCCAAUGGUAUUGCUUCAUGCAUGAUCUCGUAGUGUUACAUAACAAUAUUUGACAUAACACGAAGAUCUGCUCUAUUGCAAACUCACCCAUAGAGCUCUGUAGAUGGCGUAGCAUAAUUUAUUUUUGGAUUUUUUCUCUAUUUAUUUUAUAGGCUGGUAAUUUUUCUUGGAUAUCACCAAUAUUAGUGUUCGUGUUGAUUAACCUACUAUAUUCAGCAUAUGUAAAUUAAUACUUGUCUUUUAAAAGGUUUUAGCUGUUGGUGUUUCUUUUAUUAAUUUUUGUCGGUGAAAUUCCGGGCAAUCUUUCAAAUUAAUGGUGAAAUGAUCUCCCAUGCAACUAAAACAUUUUGGUGUUAUUUCUUCUUCCGCACACUCUUUCGAGUUAUGGUCUUUGUUACAUUUAUAGCGUCUGGGUCGAAAUUUACAUUGGUUUCUGAGGUGCCCAUAACGCAAACAAUUAAAACAAAGUAGUACUUUUUGUUUGUAUGAUUCUACCUCUUUUAUAACUUUAUUGAUAAUGGUAUAUUUAGGUAAUAUUUGUGUUUUGAAACUAACAACACAUGAUUUAUGUAGCUGGCACAAACUCUGUCAUUUCAUCUUUUGUAACUUUACGAUUUAUUCUUUUAACAUUUAAAACUUUCAAUGGUAAAUGGUGAUCAUAUGAUUUAAUUUUAUUUUUAAGGUAAUCUUCAGAAAAUUCCGUCUCAAUGUCUCUUAUUACACCCUGUCUGACAAUAAUAAAUUUGGGAACAUAAAUAUCUAAAUUGUUAUCAAUAAAUACUUUAUCGUUUUUGUCGCUGAUAAGGUAAUUAGCGUUUUUUGGAUCCUUCAUUUUAAUGCGAAUUCUAUUGCGACCUAUUUAAUUGGUCUUUACCAAAGCCAUCAAAUUAAAUAAAAAAAAGCUGUUGGUGUGUCUUUACAGAUUGGUAAAGAAAAUUUAGAAAAAGCUAAUUGAUCUUUACCAAAGCCAUCAAAUUAAAUAAAAAAAAAGCUGUUGGUGUGUCUUCUGGCUAUACGAAAUAUAUACCUAAAUUUACAAAGCGUAUGAUAAAAUAUAAUCUUCUUCUAAUGGCGCUACAACCCUUUGUGAGUCUUGGCGUGCUUAACAAUGUUCUUCCAUUCUGCCCUGUCGGAUAUUUUCCUUGCCACUGCCUGAUAUUCAUGGUUUUUAAGAUCCCCUCUACGUCGUCUAUCCAUCUUUCACGGGGCGUUCUUGUUCUAUUUCCUUGGAGCUUCCAUCUCUGGAUUACUUUCACAGCUCGAUUAUCUGGCAUAUCAGAGCUUAAAAAAUUGUUUCGCUGGCUGAGAAUUUUAGAGAUUCAAGAUCCAAAUACUUAACUUCACGUUCAUAGUUGGCACUGAAUGUACUUAAUUUUUUUGUCUAACAUGUUUUUGUCUAUAUACCAUGAAUUAAGUUGAACCAAUUUAGAAUUUGCUAAUUGCAUAACUGAAACCUGAAUUCGAUAUCAGCAUUCAUAUUAUAAACAAUUUCACUAUAACUGUGUACAUUCCAGUCAACAAAAUUUUUGGGACAUGUGAUCGUUGCGAACAAAUUUUCAUAACCAAAGAGCAAAUAAACGAACAAAAAGUUGACUUCGAGAAUCAUUGUAAACGUUUGCGUUCCUUAUUUUCUUUAACCAUUCAAGGGCAUCUAGAGUAGGUAACUGUAAAUUAUUAUCAAGUUGACAAGCAAUAAGCAAUGUGAGACAGAAUGAACAACCCUCUAUUUUUGUAUCCAAUUAUAAUUGUUAAGACAAAUAAAAUGGUUUAGUUUCACUUGUUAGUAAGUGAACCCUUACUGAAAAAAGAACUGUAAAUAGUAGUAUUUUACUCAGAGGGUCUGAAUGAUUGUGACAAACCAAGUGGUCAGGAAAAUACAUUUAGGUGUUAAGUCGAACCUAGGACAAAUAAUCCCUGGACAAGUAAUCCCGGACAAAAAAUCUCUACAAAUUAUUCCUGGACAAAAAAUCCCCAGACAAAAAGUCCCCACCUAAAAUUCCGCUCAAUAAUCCUCAAUUUUUUUGGACAAAAUAUCCUCACAAAAAAUCUAGGACAAAAAAUCCGCAAGACAUAUUUGCUGCUGAAUAGUUCUGAAAAGUUUUCUCGUGAACGCAAUCGACGCAAAUGUUUUUCAGCCUCAGUGCAUGAGAGUUAUAGCAAUCGCCAUGAAACCGCUUUUCGGCACGAAAAUAAUGAUUAGCCCAAAAAUGAAUAACCAUUUUCAAUUUCGUUGCAACACGAAACUACAGCCGCAUCAUCAUUCCAGUUCAAUCAGAGAGUGCAGCAAGCACCUCUACCGGUUUCGAAACUUAUUAGUAUAUCAUCAGGAGGCACAUAUGUUGCUCUCUCUGACCCAACUAGGACAAACCCCGGCGUGCAGUCACGGAUUGCAACGAACGAAAUGGCAGAGAUGCCCUAGCGGCAACUGCUAUCAAAAAACUAAGUUUUCAAUCUAAUAGCACAUAAAUCAACAUCCAAAAAUGUCAUUCUACAUCCUAUCAGAUUGAAAACAAUGGGAACCUUAUCUGGUAACACCUCCGAGGCUUCUACAAUUUGCAAGCCAUAACGGAUGCUGAGACUCGGGAAGAUGAGGGAGUUUUACAAUUUAUAAUUCACGUUCCAUCUGCUCAGCGCGGUAUAGUUCCAACGAGAAUGGUUUUCUUAUAAUGAUUACCAUUUAAGAUUAAACAUGAAUUGUAAUUUCGAUUACCAAAUUUCGAAUUCCAACUGGUUUUCCCCAGUACGGAUUCAUGCUCUAAAGUUCUAAUUUUCCAUGACAAAAGAGUGAAUUUUUUCAAAAAUCGUGGAAAAUGUGGGGAUUAGUGUGCGAUGAACUAUGAACAAAGCAACAAUGAGGAAAACAAAUAUGCGUGUUGUUUAAAAUUCGUUACAUGAUACAAAUUGUUGGUACAUGAUACGUGUUGUUUUUGGAAUAGUUGAAAUGUGUAAGCGAACACACUCAGAAAUAAUGAUUUUUUGGUAUCUUCAGAGUGGGACUGAAUGUUGCUUGCAUUGAAUUGAAUCUGAUGACUAAAUAUUUUAUGCGUAAAAUUUACCAAAAAGAACCAAUUAAAUUUACUAUUCUAACUGGGAAAGAAGCCACAAUUUAAGUUAAAAAAUGAGUUUAUUGACGUUUCGACUUCCACUUCGGAGGUCGAAACGUCAAUAAAAUCAUUUUUAAAGUUAAAUUGUGGCUUAUUUUCCAAUUAGAAUAGUAAAGUACGUCAAUGCCACAAAUACAUAGCUACAGAACCAUAUUAAGAACAGGUUCUUUUGCAUUACAAUAAAAAGAUCGUUUUCAGGACCAGCAGUUAUCAUCACGAAUAGGCAAUGUUUUGAUUCAAAGCAGAGUGAGAAAAAGAUUUAAGCGAAUAAUUACAACAUGAUUCCUACGGCCUUAGCUCAUUCCCCGUAUUUUCCAUGAUUUUUGAAAAAAACUCACACUUUUUUGUCUUUUGUCGUUUUCGGCAUGAAUGCAUGAAUCCGUACUGGGGAAAAUCAGUUGAAAAAGGAAAUUGGAAAACGAAAUUACAAUUCGUGCUUAAUAUUAAGCGCUAAUCAUUAUUUUCGUGCCGAAAUGCGGUUUCAUGACGAUCUUUUAUUUUUGACGAUACUUUUGUGCAUUUGGGUCGAUUGCGUUCACGGGAAACUUUUGAGAACUAUUCGACAGCAAAUAUUUCAUGGAGAUUUUUUGUCUGAAAUUGAUUGUGGGGAUAUUUUGUCCAAAAAAAUUGUGGGGAUUUAUUUACCGGAUUUUUUUGUGGUGAGUUUUGUCGGUGGAUUAUUUUCUGGGGAUUAUUUGUGGGAAUUUUUUGUCUAGGACUAAUUUGGGGGAUUAUUUGUCCGUACACGGUUAAGUCGUAUCGACAAAAUAAGAAUAGCCGUUUUAUGGAGACUGACUUGUUUUCAUAUAAAUAUAGUGAAUAAUCUAAAAAGUAAUACUUUCAAUGUGGUAUUAGCUAGUACCAACUAGAUAGCGUUGCUCAAAUUGCAAUAAUUUUGAGGAUAUUUCUUUGGAGGUGUUGUGCUUCUAUGUUAACACGAUUAGUUUAUGAUUUUGGACAUUUUCGAUAAUCCUUCAAAAGCUUAGUUUGCUCAAUUGUUAAAGCUGUAGUACUUUUUAGUAUUGUUGACCGAACAAUCUUCAUAAAACUGAUGCAGGCUAUCCGUAAACGUUAAGGAAUUAUUAGAAAUUUUUGAUAAAUCGCUCAUACUCUCUCAAUACGGAUAUUAAUCUCUGGUGGACUAUCAAAAACUUCUAGUAAUUUUUGUAUUUGUAAUUGUUACACAAACAUAAACUUUUAGCUGUUUGUCGUACGUAUUUUAAAGUUACUGUAGCUAUAAGUAACGUAUAAUUUUUUCAUAGACAUUAGUUCUUAGUGUAUGUAGUAUGUAUCUCUGUGUGUAGUGUAGUAUGCGGCGAACAGUCGCAGAUGCACUGUAGUACAGUCGUUCUGAAUAAAGUAGUUUCAUGAAA